ACACACUGAUUAAAGCUGUCCUGCCGUAUGUGAAACUGGUAGAUAUGGUUCUUGUUGACAGUGGAGCCUAGAUUUGGAGGACAAAAGUUCAUGAUAGACAUUAUGCCAAAGGUCAAACACCUUAGAACUAAGGACAUUGAAGUAGAUGGUGGAAUAGGAAUUCCUACAAUUGAAGCAGCUUCUCAGAAUACCAGUGGAAUCAGAACAAGUUGUCUCAUUGUUUCACUGAAAUGACAGCCCCUUUAUCCCUGUGAUGUUGAGAUAUGCAAAUGUUGAUUUGAUGCUUUGGCUGUGGCAUUUUGAAAGACAAAACUUUUGUUUUCUGAAACAAUGCGGAACAAAGCAAGCUGACUGUGUUGAAUAACAAAAGUAAAAACAAGCAAACAUGCCUUUGAAUGCAUGUUGGCCAUGUACCUCUGAGCUGUACUGUACAAAAGCUUUCAUUUUCACCAUCUUGAAGUCACUGGACAGAGUCAUCCCAUAAGUUAUUGCCAGAGAAUUAAGAUGAUUAGUGAUACAAUGGAUACUAGCCAAGGCUUUGCUCAUAAACUGGUCAUGAACUAGUCAGCACAGAAAUUGGAGGCAUGGUCACUCAUAUCCAACAAAGUAUAAAGGGGGGAGAGA